rnacentral:rRNA from 1 species
ACACAUGCAAGUCGAACGAGAGAGAGGGAGCUUGCUUCCUCAAUCGAGUGGCGAACGGGUGAGUAACGCGUGAGGAACCUGCCUCAAAGAGGGGGACAACAGUUGGAAACGACUGCUAAUACCGCAUAAGCCCACGACCCGGCAUCGGGUUGAGGGAAAAGGAGCAAUCCGCUUUGAGAUGGCCUCGCGUCCGAUUAGCUAGUUGGUGAGGUAACGGCCCACCAAGGCAACGAUCGGUAGCCGGACUGAGAGGUUGAACGGCCACAUUGGGACUGAGACACGGCCCAGACUCCUACGGGAGGCAGCAGUGGGGAAUAUUGCACAAUGGGGGAAACCCUGAUGCAGCGACGCCGCGUGGAUGAAGAAGGUCUUCAGAUUGUAAACUCCUGUUGUUGAGGAAGAUAAUGACGGUACUCAACAAGGAGGUGACGGCUAACUACGUGCCAGCAGCCGCGGUAAAACGUAGGUCACAAGCGUUGUCCGGAAUUACUGGGUGUAAAGGGAGCGCAGGCGGGAAGACAAGUUGGAAGUGAAAUCUAUGGGCUCAACCCAUAAACUGCUUUCAAAACUGUUUUUCUUGAGUAGUGCAGAGGUAGGCGGAAUUCCCGGUGUAGCGGUGGAAUGCGUAGAUAUCGGGAGGAACACCAGUGGCGAAGGCGGCCUACUGGGCACCAACUGACGCUGAGGCUCGAAAGUGUGGGUAGCAAACAGGAUUAGAUACCCUGGUAGUCCACACCGUAAACGAUGAUUACUAGGUGUUGGAGGAUUGACCCCUUCAGUCCC